rnacentral:rRNA from 1 species
UACGAAGGGGGCUAGCGUUGUUCGGAAUCACUGGGCGUAAAGCGCACGUAGGCGGAUCGUUAAGUCGAGGGUGAAAUCCCAGGGCUCAACCCUGGAACUGCCUUCGAUACUGGCGAUCUUCGAGUCCGGGAGAGGUGAGUGGAACUCCGAGUGUAGAGGUGAAAUUCGUAGAUAUUCGGAAGAACACCAGUGGCGAAGGCGGCGAUCUGGGUGGAUACUGACGCUGAGGUGCGAAAGCGUGGGGAGCAAACAGG